CGACUACUGACUAGGUUAUUACGUCACUUCAACGACACAUAACUAGUCCUGUACUGACUAGUGACUAGGUUAUGACGUCACUUCAACGACACAUAACUAGUCCUGUACAGACUACCGACUACUGACUAGGUUAUUACGUCACUUCAACGACACAUAACUAGUCCUGUACUGACUAGUGACUAGGUUAUGACGUCACUUCAACGACACAUAACUAGUCCUGUACAGACUACCGACUAGUGACUAGGUUAUGACAUCACUUCAACGACACAUAACUAGUCCUGUACAGACUACAGACUACUGACUAGGUUAUGGGCCCAUUCCCGUCUAAACAUUUUGAUUAAUAACAAUAAUAUAUAACAACCAUAUAAAUCUCUCCUCUAUAAAUUCACAUCCACUUCCUGGGUCGUGUUGGGUCUUUCCUGUCCGUUGCUGUUUCCGCCAACCGAAAAAC
rnacentral:lncRNA from 1 species